CAGCCGCCACGGGAAUACGAAGGGUGCAAGCGUUACUCGGAAUUACUGGGCGUAAAGCGUGCGUAGGUGGUGGUUUAAGUCCGUUGUGAAAGCCCUGGGCUCAACCUGGGAAUUGCAGUGGAUACUGGGUCACUAGAGUGUGGUAGAGGAUAGUGGAAUUUCCGGUGUAGCAGUGAAAUGCGUAGAGAUCGGAAGGAACAUCUGUGGCGAAGGCGACUAUCUGGGCCAACACUGACACUGAGGCACGAAAGCGUGGGGAGCAAACAGGAUUAGAUACCCCGGUAGUCCUGUCUCUUAUACA
rnacentral:rRNA from 1 species